rnacentral:misc_RNA from 1 species
CGAAGAAGAAGAACUUCAACAGGGAGUCUACAACAACUUUGUACAUGUCGCUCCUAUCACGUAUGCAAUGAUGGCGCACUUAAACAUCAAUGAGAAGAGAUUUCCCGUACCAGGAACAUCCGGAGAAGCAGCUCAACUUCAAACUCGGACGUGAUCAUGAGUCAGUCUUAGUUGAGCAACGACGUCAGACGAUCAUUCAGGGAAUUUCAGCGGAAACUAGAAUUCUGCAAAUACACAUCGAAAACUUCGACUAUUGCUGAGAUCGUAUAUUUUCUGCGAGCAUCCUGACUUAAAAACAACAAAACAUAUUAAACCACCAGGUAAGACGUGGAUCAGGCAGCCUUUGUUUCCGGCUACUUGCUGGCCACAUCAGAGAUCCUACGGCUGCCAUGGUGUAGAAGAUUGAUUGGGUGAUGUACGAGUGCCUGGAUAGCGUGAGGAUCAAGCCCAUCUUCGCAAUCCGAGGUAUAUCAUCAUUCCACGUCACGUUGUCCAAUCGACAGCACCGCCAUCUUGGAGGUUAAGGAAAGUCAAACUAUUAGCUAAGAACGACGCACGAUGCGAGUUGUCAAACUUCUCUGUCCCUUCAGCUAAGAACGAAGAAAAUUCUACGCGUUCGUCAAGUAUUGAAUUUGGGCAGCCACGUCAUGACACAAAGUAGAAUGAAAGAGGAACUUGCCAAGUGAAAUACUUCGGGAAAAUCAGAGAGCAAAAAAACCAGAGACUACAAAUUCCCCAUCUCUCCAAUUAAAACUGGUUCUUCCCAGACGGUAUGUCAGCUAUAGGUAAUUACUGCGAAGGUCUGAUGGUAAUCUACUCAACAUCCUACAUCGAAGAAUCUAAUGUACCUAUCUACCUACUAUGACUGACCUCAGAAAGAUCUGCGCACAGACUGCUGGCAGACUGAUCAGAUCGCUACUUCGCUGACUCUAUUCAUUUGCGGACUAAUUUAAUCAAAACACAGGAUUACAUCAGCCUUCAUACUAAAUCAGCGCAGCAUAACGAGCGAUUGCCUGAUUGGCGCAUUUGGAAACCAGUCCUAGCUUCCCGAUUCCUAGAAAAGCUUCGCCCCACGGAGUCCGAGCGCCGGAAGUUAUGGAGUGUCACAGCUAAACUAAUGACGCCACGUAAUGAGCAGAAAUAAGUUUCCUGGAUACCUCGAUCAAACUUCCGUAAGAUAUAGGAACCGAACAUACACACUGCAUAUAAUGCCGGACCGUUCGCUGGUAUAGGAUAAUCGCAUUCCUCUAGCCAGCAAUACGUCUGUUGCCCGGAACUCACACAGAGUUCAUGGAAUUUCCAUUAAAUUCUAACGAUGAUGGCCGACGUAUUGCAUGCUUGCAGAUGAUUUAGAGCUCUUCGGCCACACACACAUACACACAUUAAUCGCAAAAGGAAAGUCGAACUGAAAGGAAUUGCUGCGACAUUAGAAGACAGAAGGCUUAUAAUAGUGGAUAUAAAAAUGAACUUAAAAUAUUCUGAAACGGAAGACUAACAAUUAUGAACAUUGCUUUGUGUUUAUAUGUCAAUCUGAAUGAUUAACAUGGUGAAUAUAAGUAUCUCACUGAUUGAAAAUUGAUCUGUAAAGUUGAGGAUUAUUUCUUUUUACGCCAAAGUUCAUUGCGCAAGUUCCAUGCAAGUGGAGCUGUGAUCAGUAAUUUUGAUAGAUUGACGGAAGUGGAAAUUUUUCACCCUGCUAUGAGUUUCUAUUUUUGAAGAAAUGAUAAGUUUAUGAGACAUAUUUUUUUGAUUUAAGAUUAAUGAUAUAUUUAUGAGAUGAUAUUGAUUUUAUUUGUUAUUGACUUGGUCAUAAAAAAGUUGUAUUUCUGUUUCGUUGAAAGAUGUGAAUUCAAUAAAUGAUUGCAUCCCGUAUUAGGUGAUGAUAUUGAUAGUGUUUGUUAUAAGCUUUAUCCCGUAGAUACUGUAAUUCCAUUUGUAAGAUUGUUCUUCCGAAUCGUUACAUGAUGUAAAUACAAUGAACGGUUACACCUUACCAUGUGAUGCUAUUGAUAGAAUUUGAUGUAAGAUUUAUGCUAUAAACAUUGUAAUACUAUCGUAUUACAAGAUGCACGUAUACUAAGAAUAUGUACGAUGAUUAAAUUUAGAAAUAACUGGAAUAUUUCAUUGAGCUGAAUAGUAGAAAUGAAAAUAAGUACGUUGACCUUGGGUCAAUUUCAAACAUAGAUAAGUUUGAGUCAAGUCAUCAAUUAUCAUUUUUCUGGAUAAAUGCUGCGGUCUCCAGCAGUGAAUGACUUUUGAAUGUUUAUGAGACUUAAAGACGUCAAGAAACGCUUAGGACCGACAGCAGAGAAAUUACGAGGGAAAUCUUCAGUUCUUUGGCUGUGAUUUUCAUCCAUUGCGCGCAAACGAUUUCUCUCGGCAAGUAAGGUCGCAAUAGUGCAUCUAAGCAUUAUUCAAAAUCAUUAGAACUUUCACCAGUAAUCCAAAGGGGCAAGCCUUGCUUUUUCUUUCAUCUUGUAAAAAAACGCUAUUCACCUUAAUAUCGAUUCACAUGACCCUUAUUGGAACAAUUAAAUUCAGCGCAUAGCAAACAACGGAUUUUAGAAAUCGUGGGACAAACACCUCAGCAAAAACAAAGAUAAUACAGAGAAAUCAAUUCAUUCUAGAUUGAUUUGUUUUAUAACAGAUUACAUCAGAUAGUAACGGUAUACUAUUAUACAUAUCAUAUCCUACAGAUGGCCUUUCAGUACACCUGCACGCAGACCAGAGCUUAAUCUCUUCUUAUGAACUACAAUGAUAAAUAUCUCGUAUAACAUAUUUCAUAUUCUGCCUGAGGCUGUGUGUAUUGCACUUCUUCUUUAGCAUAAAAUUGUUAAAUUUCUUAUGUAAUGGACGAUCACUCUUUUCCAUUUCUUCUUGACUUGGACCAUAAUACUACAAUUUCGCAACUUCUUAAAGUACUAUACACUGACACAAAAACAAUUGUACUACGAUAGAAACAUAUUGAAUAAACUGAA